GCUGGAGGGAAGGGUCCGCCUCCAAGGCGGCCGGCGCCUGCGCCGCGGGGCUCCAGUCAGGACGCGCAUUCUCGCACCCUCCCUCAGCCGCGCGCGCCCGGCGGGCGUGGGAGGAGGCGGGGAACCGGGGAGGGGCGGGUGUCGCAGGAGGGAAGAGCGAACCGGAGAGCGUCGUCCUGAGAGCAGUGAAGGCGGCGAAGUGGCGGACCGCUUCUCCCGCUUCUACGAGGACCGAGACUUCCCGGAUCUUACCUAGCCAUAUGGCCUGCUGCCUCUGCCAAGUUAAAAAUAGCAUUGAGGUUGUCUGCAAGACAGUCAAGCUGCAUUGCAACAAUGGAGAAGCAUCUAUAGGGAAUCCUGAAGGAGCGUUCAUGAAGGUGUUACAAGCCCGGAAGAAGCACACAAGCAUGGAGCUGACUAUUGAGCUGGAGACGCCCUCAGACAGCAACGGGCUCAACUUGUCAGGCUUUGGGAGUGAGCAGCUAGACAUCAAUGAUGAAAGUGAUGUUAUCAGUGCACUAAGAAGAUGUGGAAUCAGUGUUGUUACCGUUCAUUAAACUGCUUUUUUCAGAUUCACAAGAUGGUGACAGGCCCCUGGAUAUUUUGAAAAACAAUACAAAGAGCCCUUCUCUUCAACCUGCAUCCAACAACUCAACUUACCAAAAUAAAUUGAGAAAGCUGUAUUUUCUGAAAAAUAUGUUACAUGCAGAAAUUCAACAAAAAAAAUUGAUGAGGUUAAAAGAGAAGAAAAAACAGCCAUGCUUAUACAGUCCAGCGUUUUAGGUCCCAAAUUUUUAUUUUUUAUUUUUUUAUUUUUAUUUUUUAGACACGGGAUC
rnacentral:lncRNA from 1 species